rnacentral:rRNA from 1 species
UACGAAGGGGGCUAGCGUUGUUCGGAAUCACUGGGCGUAAAGCGCACGUAGGCGGAUCUUUAAGUCAGGGGUGAAAUCCCGGGGCUCAACCCCGGAACUGCCUUUGAUACUGGCAUUCUCGAGUCCGGAAGAGGUGAGUGGAAUUCCGAGUGUAGAGGUGAAAUUCGUAGAUAUUCGGAGGAACACCAGUGGCGAAGGCGGCUCACUGGUCCGGUACUGACGCUGAGGUGCGAAAGCGUGGGGAGCAAACAGG